rnacentral:rRNA from 1 species
GACGAACGCUGGCGGCGUGCUUAACACAUGCAAGUCGAACGGAAAGGCCCUGCUUUUGUGGGGUGCUCGAGUGGCGAACGGGUGAGUAACACGUGAGUAACCUGCCCUUGACUUUGGGAUAACUUCAGGAAACUGGGGCUAAUACCGGAUAGGAGCUCCUGCUGCACGGGGGGGGUUGGAAAGUUUCGGCGGUGGGGGCUGGACUCGCGGCUUAUCAGCUUGUUGGUGGGGUAGUGGCUUACCAAGGCUUUGACGGGUAGCCGGCCUGAGAGGGUGACCGGCCACAUUGGGACUGAGAUACGGCCCAGACUCCUACGGGAGGCAGCAGUGGGGAAUAUUGCACAAUGGGCGGAAGCCUGAUGCAGCAACGCCGCGUGCGGGAUGCCGGCCUUCGGGUUGUAAACCGCUUUCGCCUGUGACGAAGCGUGAGUGACGGUAAUGGGUCAAGAAGCACCGGCUAACUACGUG